rnacentral:rRNA from 1 species
CAGCCGCCGCGGGAAUACGUAGGUGGCAAGCGUUGUCCGGAAUUAUUGGGCGUAAAGGGCUCGCAGGCGGUUUCUUAAGUCUGAUGUGAAAGCCCCCGGCUCAACCGGGGGGGGUCAUUGGAAACUGGGAAACUUGAGUGCAGAAGAGGAGAGUGGAAUUCCACGUGUAGCGGUGAAAUGCGUAGAGAUGUGGAGGAACACCAGUGGCGAAGGCGACUCUCUGGUCUGUAACUGACGCUGAGGAGCGAAAGCGUGGGGAGCGAACAGGAUUAGAUACCCGAGUAGUCCCUGUCUCUUAUAC